ACAUGCCUACAGCAUAGCGUUAAUGCAUCGGAUCCCAUUAGAACUCUACAGUUAAGCGUGCUCAGGCUAGAGUAGUACUGGGAUGGGUGACCUCCCGGGAAGUCUUAAUGUUUUACAUGCC
rfam:Picea glauca, whole genome shotgun sequence.